rnacentral:rRNA from 1 species
CCUACGGGGGGCAGCAGUGAGGAAUAUUGGUCAAUGGACGAGAGUCUGAACCAGCCAAGUAGCGUGAAGGAUGACUGCCCUAUGGGUUGUAAACUUCUUUUAUAUGGGAAUAAAAUGUUCCACGUGUGGGAUUUUGUAUGUACCAUAUGAAUAAGGAUCGGCUAACUCCGUGCCAGCAGCCGCGGUAAUACGGAGGAUCCGAGCGUUAUCCGGAUUUAUUGGGUUUAACGGGAGCGUAGGUGGAUUGUUAAGUCAGUUGUGAAAGUUUGCGGCUCAACCGUAAAAUUGCAGUUGAAACUGGCAGUCUUGAGUACAGUAGAGGUGGGCGGAAUUCGUGGUGUAGCGGUGAAAUGCUUAGAUAUCACGAAGAACUCCGAUUGCGAAGGCAGUUCACUGGACUGCAACUGACACUGAGGCUCGAAAGUGUGGGUAUCAAACAGGAUUAGAUACCCUUGUAGUC